rnacentral:rRNA from 1 species
UACGUAGGGGGCGAGCGUUGCCCGGAUUUAUUGGGCGUAAAGAGCGUGUAGGCGGCCAGGUAGGUCUGCUGUGAAAACUCGAGGCUCAACCUCGAGACGUCGGUUGAAACCACCUGGCUAGAGUCCGGAAGAGGAGAGUGGAAUUCCCGGUGUAGCGGUGAAAUGCGCAGAUAUCGGGAAGAACACCCGUGGCGAAGGCGGCUCUCUGGGACGGUACUGACGCUGAGGCGCGAAAGCGUGGGGAGCGAACAGG